UACGGGGGGGGCAAGCGUUGUUCGGAAUUACUGGGCGUAAAGAGCUCGUAGGCGGUUUGUCACGUCUGCUGUGAAAUCCCGAGGCUCAACCUCGGGCCUGCAGUGGGUACGGGCAGACUGGAGUGCGGUAGGGGAGAAUGGAAUUCCUGGUGUAGCGGUGGAAUGCGUAGAUAUGCGGAGGAACACCGGUGGCGAAGGCGGCAUCCUGGACCGACACUGACGCUGAGGCGCGAAAGCUAGGGGAGCAAACGGG
rnacentral:rRNA from 1 species